AAAUGAAUAGACGGGGACCCGCACAAGCGGUGGAGUAUGUGGUUUAAUUCGAAGCAACGCGAAGAACCUUACCAGGCCUUGACAUGGAGCUAAAGGCCCUAGAGAUAGGGAGAUAGUUAUAGCUCACACAGGUGGUGCAUGGUUGUCGUCAGCUCGUGUCGUGAGAUGUUGGGUUAAGUCCCGCAACGAGCGCAACCCUUGUCUUCUGUUACCAUCAUUCAGUUGGGGACUCAGGAGAGACUGCCGGUGACAAACCGGAGGAAGGUGGGGAUGACGUCAAAUCAUCAUGCCCCUUAUGGCCUGGGCUACACACGUACUACAAUGGCGGCUACAAAGAGGAGCGAACCUGCGAGGGGGAGCAAAUCUCAUAAAGGUCGUCUCAGUUCGGAUUGAAGUCUGCAACUCGACUUCAUGAAGUCGGAAUCGCUAGUAAUCGCAGAUCAGCAUGCUGCGGUGAAUACGUUCUCGGGUCUUGUACACACCGCCCGU
rnacentral:rRNA from 1 species